rnacentral:rRNA from 1 species
GUUAGGAAUAUUGGACAAUGGGCGCAAGCCUGAUCCAGCCAUGCCGCGUGAGUGAUGAAGGUCUUCGGGUUGUAAAGCUCUUUAGUCCACGAAUAUAAUGACUGUAGUGGAAGAAUAAGCCCCGGCUAACUUCGUGCCAGCAGCCGCGGUAAUACGAAGGGGGCGAGCGUUAUUCGGAAUCACUGGGCGUAAAGCGUGCGUAGGCUGUUUUGUAAGUCAGAAGUGAAAGCCCAGGGCUUAACCCUGGAAUUGCUUUUGAAACUACAAGACUCGAAUUCGGGAGAGGAUAGCGGAAUUGUCAGUGUAGCAGUGAAAUGCGUAGAUAUUGACAGGAACACCAGUGGCGCAAGCGGCUAUCUGGACCGAUAUUGACGCUGAGGCACGAAAGCGUGGGGAGCAAACAGGAUUAGAAACCCUAGUAGUCC